rnacentral:rRNA from 1 species
UUCCCGAAACGAGCGCAACCCUCGCCUUUAGUUGCCAUCACGUUUGGGUGGGCACUCUAAAGGAACUGCCGGUGACAAGCCGGAGGAAGGUGGGGAUGACGUCAAGUCCUCAUGGCCCUUAUGUCCUGGGCUACACACGUGCUACAAUGGCGGUGACAGUGGGAAGCCAGGUGGUGACACCGAGCCGAUCUCAAAAAGCCGUCUCAGUUCGGAUUGCACUCUGCAACUCGAGUGCAUGAAGGUGGAAUCGCUAGUAAUCGCGGAUCAGCAUGCCGCGGUGAAUACGUUCCCGGGA